rnacentral:rRNA from 1 species
GAUGAACGCUGGCGGCGUGCCUAAUACAUGCAAGUCGAGCGAACAGACGAGGAGCUUGCUCCUCUGACGUUAGCGGCGGACGGGUGAGUAACACGUGGAUAACCUACCUAUAAGACUGGGAUAACUUCGGGAAACCGGAGCUAAUACCGGAUAAUAUAUUGAACCGCAUGGUUCAAUGGUGAAAGACGGUUUUGCUGUCACUUAUAGAUGGAUCCGCGCCGCAUUAGCUAGUUGGUAAGGUAACGGCUUACCAAGGCAACGAUGCGUAGCCGACCUGAGAGGGUGAUCGGCCACACUGGAACUGAGACACGGUCCAGACUCCUACGGGAGGCAGCAGUAGGGAAUCUUCCGCAAUGGGCGAAAGCCUGACGGAGCAACGCCGCGUGAAUGAUGAAGGUCUUCGGAUCGUAAAACUCUGUUAUUAGGGAAGAACAAAUGUGUAAGUAACUAUGCACGUCUUGACGGUACCUAAUCAGAAAGCCACGGCUAACUACGUG